rnacentral:rRNA from 1 species
GUAGGGAAUCUUCGGCAAUGGACGAAAGUCUGACCGAGCGACGCCGCGUGAGUGAAGAAGGUUUUCGGAUCGUAAAACUCUGUUGGUAGAGAAGAACGUUGGUGAGAGUGGAAAGCUCAUCAAGUGACGGUAACUACCCAGAAAGGGACGGCUAACUACGUGCUAG